rnacentral:lncRNA from 1 species
GAUAAUAGUGUAUUUUUUUUUAGUAGGGUCAAAAUUGUAUUGGUAUUUUUUUUUUAGUGGAGUGAUAGUAUAAUUUUUUUUAUGGGAUAAUAGUACAAUAUUUUUUGGCAGUGGGGUCAGCUGCCCCCACAGCCUUGUUGCCUCCACCCUGCUUCUAUUCGAAAGACAUUAUCACUUAUAAAACUUUUUUGCCCCAAAAUGAAACGAACUUGAAAAGAGUAAUCUUAACUCCUUAAAAGAGCAAAGUACUUUUUUGUCACAUUUACUGGUGGGAAUUAGGUAGUGAUGCAGCGGACAUAACACAAGAAAUAGAACAAAUCUAUUUCAAGAAAAAAUUCACUCAAAACCACAAGUAAACCUUGAGUCCACAAGGAAGAACAAAGAGAAAACACUCGAGAAUAUUUUAUUUAUUUAUUUUAUAACCCAGAACAUCCACCCAACCCGACACAACACCAAAGAGAGCAGUCCAAAGUGGGGUGGAGUGGGACUCGCUUAGCAACCCACCCACAUGUAAAUAGUAAGGUUAACCCAGCUGACAGGGCUCGAACUUGGGAUGCAUCAUGCACUACGCUUGCCCUCCUCCGCACUUA